UUGCUGGGACUAUAAUGUGAUGCGCAAUC
rnacentral:piRNA from 1 species